UGGGGAAUAUUGGACAAUGGGCACAAGCCUGAUCCAGCCAUGUCGCGUGAGUGAUGAAGGCCCUAGGGUUGUAAAGCUCUUUCACCGGUGAAGAUAAUGACGGUAACCGGAGAAGAAGCCCCGGCUAACUUCGUGCCAGCAGCCGCGGUAAUACGAAGGGGGCUAGCGUUGUUCGGAUUUACUGGGCGUAAAGCGCACGUAGGCGGACCAUUAAGUCAGGGGUGAAAUCCCGGGGCUCAACCCCGGAACUGCCUUUGAUACUGGUAGUCUUGAGUUCGAGAGAGGUGAGUGGAAUUCCGAGUGUAGAGGUGAAAUUCGUAGAUAUUCGGAGGAACACCAGUGGCGAAGGCGGCUCACUGGCUCGAUACUGACGCUGAGGUGCGAAAGCGUGGGGAGCAAACAGG
rnacentral:rRNA from 1 species